rnacentral:rRNA from 1 species
UACGUAGGGCGCAAGCGUUGUCCGGAAUUAUUGGGCGUAAAGAGCUCGUAGGCGGUUUGUCGCGUCUGCUGUGAAAACUCGAGGCUCAACCUCGGGCUUGCAGUGGGUACGGGCAGACUAGAGUGCGGUAGGGGUGACUGGAAUUCCGUGGUGUAGCGGUGGAAUGCGCAGAUAUCAGGAGGAACACCGAUGGCGAAGGCAGGUCACUGGGCCGCAACUGAACGCU